rnacentral:rRNA from 1 species
AUUGAACGCUGGCGGCAUGCCUUACACAUGCAAGUCGAACGGUAACGCGGGGCAACCUGGCGACGAGUGGCGAACGGGUGAGUAAUGCAUCGGAACGUGCCCAGUAGUGGGGGAUAGCCCGGCGAAAGCCGGAUUAAUACCGCAUACGACCUAAGGGUGAAAGCGGGGGAUCGCAAGACCUCGCGCUAUUGGAGCGGCCGAUGUCAGAUUAGGUAGUUGGUGGGGUAAAGGCCUACCAAGCCUACGAUCUGUAGCUGGUCUGAGAGGGCGACCAGCCACACUGGGACUGAGACACGGCCCAGACUCCUACGGGAGGCAGCAGUGGGGAAUUUUGGACAAUGGGCGCAAGCCUGAUCCAGCCAUGCCGCGUGCGGGAAGAAGGCCUUCGGGUUGUAAACCGCUUUUGUCAGGGAAGAAACGCCCCGGGCUAAUACCCUGGGGUAAUGACGGUACCUGAAGAAUAAGCACCGGCUAACUACGUGCCAGCAGCCGCCGUAAGAC